GUUAUCUGAUCCUUUUCGGAGGUGACGAUAAUGGAAUGAGCGGCGGACGGGUGAGUAACACGUAGGCACCUGCCUGUAAGACUGGGAUAACUCGUGGAAACGCGAGCUAAUACCGGAUAACACUUUUUAUCUCCUGAUGAGAAGUUGAAAGGCGGCUUUUGCUGUCACUUACAGAUGGGCCUGCGGCGCAUUAGCUAGUUGGUAAGGUAACGGCUUACCAAGGCGACGAUGCGUAGCCGACCUGAGAGGGUGAUCGGCCACACUGGGACUGAGACACGGCCCAGACUCCUACGGGAGGCAGCAGUAGGGAAUCUUCCGCAAUGGACGAAAGUCUGACGGAGCAACGCCGCGUGAGUGAUGAAGGUUUUCGGAUCGUAAAACUCUGUUGUUAGGGAAGAACAAGUGCCAUAGUAACUGAUGGCACCUUGACGGUACCUAACCAGAAAGCCACGGCUAACUACGUGCCAGCAGCCGCGGUAAUACGUAGGUGGCAAGCGUUGUCCGGAAUUAUUGGGCGUAAAGCGCUCGCAGGCGGUUCUUUAAGUCUGAUGUGAAAUCUUACGGCUCAACCGUAAACGUGCAUUGGAAACUGGAGGACUUGAGUGCAGAAGAGGAGAGUGGAAUUCCACGUGUAGCGGUGAAAUGCGUAGAGAUGUGGAGGAACACCAGUGGCGAAGGCGACUCUCUGGUCUGUAACUGACGCUGAGGAGCGAAAGCGUGGGGAGCGAACAGGAUUAGAUACCCUGGUAGUCCACGCCGUAAACGAUGAGUGCUAGGUGUUAGGGGGUUUCCGCCCCUUAGUGCUGAAGUUAACGCAUUAAGCACUCCGCCUGGGGAGUACGGCCGCAAGGCUGAAACUCAAAAGAAUUGACGGGGGCCCGCACAAGCGGUGGAGCAUGUGGUUUAAUUCGAAGCAACGCGAAGAACCUUACCAGGUCUUGACAUCCUCUGAACACUCUAGAGAUAGAGUUUUCCCUUCGGGGACAGAGUGACAGGUGGUGCCAUGGUUUUCGUCAGCUC
rnacentral:rRNA from 1 species